rnacentral:rRNA from 1 species
CGUAGCUAACGCGUGAAGUCAGCCGCCUGGGGAGUACGGUCGCAAGAUUAAAACUCAAAGGAAUUGACGGGGACCCGCACAAGCGGUGGAUGAUGUGGAUUAAUUCGAUGCAACGCGAAAAACCUUACCUACCCUUGACAUGUCACUAACGAAGUAGAGAUACAUUAGGUGCCCGUAAGGGAAAGUGAACACAGGUGCUGCAUGGCUGUCGUCAGCUCGUGUCGUGAGAUGUUGGGUUAAGUCCCGCAACGAGCGCAACCCUUGUCUUUAGUUGCUACGCAAGAGCACUCUAAAGAGACUGCCGGUGACAAACCGGAGGAAGGUGGGGAUGACGUCAAGUCCUCAUGGCCCUUAUGGGUAGGGCUUCACACGUCAUACAAUGGUGCAUACAGAGGGUUGCCAACCCGCGAGGGGGAGCUAAUCUCAGAAAAUGCAUCGUAGUCCGGAUCGUAGUCUGCAACUCGACUACGUGAAGCUGGAAUCGCUAGUAAUCGCGGAUCAGAAUGUCGCGGUGAAUACGUUCCCGGGUCUUGUACACACCGCCCGUCAUACCAUGGGAGUGGGUUUUGCCAGAAGCCGUUAGCCUAACCGCAAGGAGGGCGACUGCCACGGCAGGGUUCAUGACUGGGGUAAAGUCGUAACAAGGUAGCCGUAUCGGAAGGUGC